rnacentral:rRNA from 1 species
GCUCAGGACGAACGCUGGCGGCGCGCCUAACACAUGCAAGUCGAACGGAGCUUAGAGAGCUUGCUUUUUAAGCUUAGUGGCGAACGGGUGAGUAACGCGUGAGUAACCUGCCCUAGAGUGGGGGACAACAGUUGGAAACGACUGCUAAUACCGCAUAAGCCCACGGUGCCGCAUGACACUGAGGGAAAAGGAUUUAUUCGCUUUAGGAUGGACUCGCGUCCAAUUAGCUAGUUGGUGAGGUAACGGCCCACCAAGGCGACGAUUGGUAGCCGGACUGAGAGGUUGAACGGCCACAUUGGGACUGAGACACGGCCCAGACUCCUACGGGAGGCAGCAGUA